AUAAAGUUAGAUGAUAAAAAAAAAAAGAAAUAACGAUGAAUGUACAAUUUUAAAUUAAGGUUAGGUUAUUUAAUUAGGUAACCUAGCAAGUUUAGUGUUAAAUUCCGGUGCAGCAAAGUAAAACUUGCAUUUACAAGAUUACUAACUACUGAAAGGAACUGGUUAGAAAGCAGGUGUAAAGGUGAUCCUCGGCAAGUUUCUGCAACAAUUCCUUGAACACGUAGUUAUCUAGGUUCUUCGCUAUAUAAUAAAGAAACACCCAGUCUCCGUAGUGGCAUUCGUUGGUAACUGCCAACACGUUCCACGGAUUAUAUCUGCCGGGACAAGCCAUGGAGAAGACCAACUUGUUGAAUGUUACGCUCCUGAUCACAUGAGAAAAUUUGUUAGAUAGCAUUAAAUAAAUUAAACUUGUGCUAAUAAAACUAAUAAAAAUGUUAAAAAGCGUUAAAUAAUAUUCGAAAUAAUUCUAAUAUUUUAAGAAAACAAGAAAAGGAACAGAAAAUAUUCCAUCGUCUAUUUUCGGAAGCAUAUCAAAGCUAUACACUGAAAUUUAGAAAAACCAAAAAUAUUGAAUUAUUUCACAUUUUUCUUAAAUUAUGUAAUAUAUAUUCAAUCGUAAAUAACUUGCUUUCCUUCGAAAUUAAAGAUACAACGAAAACUUGCUGUCUAUUUUCUAAUUAGUCGUCGUCAUUACUCUAAUUGUAUUAUCAAUUACAGAAGAUAAAAUAAUAAUUGCAUAUCAUAGUCUAGCUAAAGUUUUCACAUUACAUUAUUGUUGCCAAUUUAACAGAACUGAAGUCAAUGGUACGAGUUCGAAGAAUCGAGAUUCUAAGAAAGGCAACGGUCGAUAAACCGUAGAAUAGGUAUAGGCAAUAAAUAGUAGUAACCUGGCGUGCAAGACCAUAGUCAGUAACCUCCAAAGCAGUCCUAAACCGGUUAUCACCGACAGAAUGAUAUACCAAUACCAAAGGAAGAUAUAGAUCUUCUCGUUAACGAUGUUCAACGCCAUGACACAUAGCGCAUCGUGAUUUUGUAUAGUACCCGAUGGACCAAAUUUGUGGAAAGUACAUUUCGUCACCUGAAACAUUUAUUCGGAAGGAAUUUUUAUUUAAACAACAACAGAUUUUC